UCCCAAUGAAGAAACCUUGUUGUCCUACCAUCUGUUCUGGCACCAGAACCUGCGAAGGUUGAACCCACUGGGGCCGGCGGAGGGAGAGGAGGAAUCUCUGCUCCAGCAGGAGUAGUCUGAUGGGAC